GGUUGAUGCAAUAGGUGAACGUGUUCAGCUAAGCACCGAUUUGAAUUUCUCUGUGACUUUUAAAGCGAAAAGGUUAUAAUCAGUUUUUUCAGCUUGACGAAUUCAUAAUUACAGCAAUUUUGCAAAAAAUGGCAGUGAAUACCUCACCAACAACGAGCGGAUGUAUUGAACAAAAUUCAUGUGGCUUAAUUGCCAUUGCAACGCCCGCAAAUCCUUUAAACACAACUCUAGCCGUUCCUAAACCUACGCAAGAUUUUGGAUUUAUAAGUGGUGCAACAGACAACAGCUGAAGCGUAAUUUUGGUAAAGCGGAAAAAGCGAUUGAGCGGAAAGGUGCGAAAGGAAGAGCAGUGAAAAGUGAAUAGCAAGCAAC